ACCAGGAAGGGAAGAGUUAAUAUACACACCACCCCUAAAAUGCAACCUUAACUCUGCCCCUGGCCCUGCCGCCGGCACUAGCCGCUGGGAAUGGCUCAGUAAGGCUGGUGCAAAGGUUAAUAAAGUAACAAAGGAAGCAGAGGUUCCUCCAUUUCUUGAAGUCUUCAAGUCAGAGUGGAUGCCUUUCUGGGGGAGGAUUUAGUCCAACACAAGGUAUUCAGCUCAGUAGAGCAGUAACUGGAUGAAAUUCUAUGACCUGCUUAUACAGGAGGUCA